UACGAAGGGGGCUAGCGUUGCUCGGAAUCACUGGGCGUAAAGCGCACGUAGGCGGAUCUUUAAGUCAGGGGUGAAAUCCCAAGGCUCAACCUUGGAACUGCCUUUGAUACUGGCGAUCUCGAGUCCGGAAGAGGUGAGUGGAACUGCGAGUGUAGAGGUGAAAUUCGUAGAUAUUCGCAAGAACACCAGUGGCGAAGGCGGCUCACUGGCCCGAUACUGACGCUCAUGCACGAAAGCGUGGGGAGCAAACAGG
rnacentral:rRNA from 1 species